CAAUAGCGUAUAUUUAAGUUGUUGCAGUUAAAAAGCUCGUAGUUGGAUUUCGGAUGGGAUCUGCCGGUCUGUCUUUGAGAUGUGUACUGGUAGGUCCUAUCUUGUUGUCGGGGACCAGCUCCUGGGCUUCACUGUCCGGGACUGGGAGCCGACGAAGUUACUUUGAGUAAAUUAGAGUGUUCAAAGCAAGCCUACGCUCUGAAUAUAUUAGCAUGGAAUAACACGAUAGGACUCUGGCUUAUCUUGUUGGUCUGUGAGACCAGAGUAAUGAUUAAGAGGGACAGUCGGGGACAUUCGUAUUUCAUUGUCAGAGGUGAAAUUCUUGGAUUUAUGAAAGACGAACUACUGCGAAAGCAUUUGUCAAGGAUGUUUUCAUUAA
rnacentral:rRNA from 1 species